UUAAAUUCCCCAAGAGGGAUAGUUGGUUAAAGUCCUUAAGCAAUGGCUUUGCAGGAAAGGAAGUGAUCUAGCAAUGACAAUGAGGAGGUGGUCUAUUGGUGAUGAGUGAUUCUCGUCAUGUUUGGCUAAGCUUAAAAGAGCAAUACUCUGGUUUUGACUUUGGUUGGGUAGAUAUUGCAGGGAGCCUUGCACAACAUUUAUGCUCGUAAUACCUUGUAGGUCGACGAGGAAUGAGAGAUUUGUAUUGGACUAGUUCGUUGAGGGAGUAAUGAGUCUCUCUAUUAAACUUGACAAAAUAGUCGAGUAACUCGUGGAGAAAUGAUGUCUCUUUACGUCUAUUAUGACUUCUUAGUGAUCAAAUACUACUGCACUUUGAGGUGUAAGCUAAUUUUCAAUUUCCAAAGCAUGAGCAAUACUCUGGUUUUGACUUUGGUUGGGUAGAUAUUGCAGGGAGCCUUGCACAACAUUUAUGCUCGUAAUACCUUGUAGGUCGACGAGGAAUGAGAGAUUUGUAUUGGACUAGUUCGUUGAGGGAGUAAUGAGUCUCUCUAUUAAACUUGACAAAAUAGUCGAGUAACUCGUGGAGAAAUGAUGUCUCUUUACGUCUAUUAUGACUUCUUAGUGAUCAAAUACUACUGCACUUUGAGGUGUAAGCUAAUUUUCAAUUUCCAAAGCAUUUUGGGUGGCUUCUUCCUGG
rnacentral:lncRNA from 1 species